UUGUAGACAACUUAGACUCUGCCCGUCUACCUUCCUCUCCGCAUCAUCUUCUUGUCUAGUGUUGCCUAGAUGGCUUCCGCCUCCUCAUCGUCCCUCCCGCAGGGCCCGCUGGAGAAGAGGCUGCCUGCAUAGCCGUCAAACCCGCUGUAGUUGGUGUCGCCCAGGCCCUCACCGUCAUCGUUGGUAUGGAGCAUAAAUUUCAUGGCAGAGUUGGUUCCACAUGGGGAAAAGGGUACCUACCUUUUUAGAAAAAUGUAAAUUUUCCAUUUCAAUCCCUAGAUCCUUCUGUUGAAGUAAAGGUUUAAUUUUACAGAGUUGUUAUUCCUCAGUUGGAUUCUCAG